GACAGAGGUGCCAAGCGUUAGGCGGAAUCACUGGGCUUAAAGCGUGUGUAGGCGGGCGGGCAAGUACCUUGUGAAAUCCCACGGCUCAACCGUGGAACGGCUGGGUAUACUGCCUGUCUUGAGCCAACUAGGGGCGAGCGGAACAGACGGUGGAGCGGUGAAAUGCGUAGAUAUCGUGUGGAACGCCGAUGGUGAAAACAGGUUGCUGGGGCUGUGCUGACGCUGAGACACGAAAGCCAGGGGAGCGAACGGG
rnacentral:rRNA from 1 species